rnacentral:tmRNA from 1 species
GGGGGUGACUGGUUUCGACUUCGUUCGUUGAGUUAGGGGAAGCGAGCCGAGGAAGCCGACGUCGUCUCGUUAAUCGUCGUCGGGAAAAAAUAAGCGCCAACGCUAAGCGCGCUGACUUCGCUCUCGCUGCCUGACGCGAGUAGCGGGUCUGUCGGCCUGGGAGCGCCUUCGGCCCAGUAGCCGGCAUCAGCGAGAAGGCUGGCCACCGGACCUUGUCGCGGGGUCUGGUUGGCGAGAGUCAACGCGACUGGGCCCGUCACACCGACUCGCUCGCGUGAUCGGUGGGGCCGAGUAGAGGCACAGCGAGCUGCGCUCGGAGAAGCCCUAGCAAGGCGACGAAGGACCCGGGUUCGAUUCCCGGCACCUCCACCA